GCCUGGGCGCAGAGGCGCUCGCCUGUAAUCCCAGCAGCUCAGGAGGCUGAGACAGGAGAAUCGCAAAUUCAAAGCCAGCCUCAGCAAUGGCGAGGCGCUAAGCAAAUCAGUGAGACCCUGUCUCUG
rnacentral:sRNA from 1 species